UUAUGUCCAAACGCCUACUAAGACACCAGUUCUAUGAUUCUACGAUAUCCUUUUUAGGAAUUAUACCAAGACUAUUUUUAGCUUGGCAGUCAACUUUCCGCACGUAUCCUUCCUUUGUCUAAGCUCGGGACCACAUACACUUACAUAGUCAGCAAGAUAUGCCUUAAGCAAUCAAUUCCAGAAAAAAAUAGGUCUUCCUAGCAUUUAUAUUGGCGAUAAUACCUCAAAGGGCUAAUUUAUUUUCAGUCUCUACACUACCACUGCGAGCUAAAAACAAGAAUUGACUUUUUUUUAAUGACUGAGAAAUCUGUCUGGGCCAACCCAUAGGACCAACCGCAACCUUCGAUAUUUGGGAAUAUGGGUUUGCCUAUCUACAAUUCCCGCAUUAAUUACCAGGAUUAGUUUGCAUUGCAAGGGCUCGAACCUGCGACCUAAGUUACAAGCCCCUCAACGUUUGCCACUUGAACUAAGCCCUAUGGUCUAAAAAACUAGACAACUAUUUUUACUUCUCAAUUGUUCUCCCAAAAAGAAACAACAACAACUAAGCCUCGGUCCCAAACAAGUUUGAGGUCGGCUAUGUAAAUCCUCACUGACCACAUUACUAUAUUUAAACUCAUGUCAUGCCAGUAUUAUGCAAAUACUAAAUAAUUAAAACCUAAUCAAAUUAAACACAAAAACAUUACUGCUCAUUUGUCGCCAAAGAGAAACAACUUCGCUUCAAUGCCUCAGUCCCAAAAAAGUUAGGUCCACUAUAUGAAACCUCAAUGACCCUUACUCCAUUUAAACUCAUGUCAUGCCAAUAUUAUGCAAAUACGAUAUAACUAAAAAAAUAUUAGAAUUAAAAACAAAAACAUUUAAACACAUAAUGCUUCCUCCUUUUUUAACAUAUGUAUACCUCCAGUGAAAAAGGAAGAAGAGGGCCAACCACGAACCCUUGACACGCACGCCGUUUCAUCCUCCGACAGCAACAACGAAGACGAGCC
rnacentral:lncRNA from 1 species